GGGGAUAUAGCUCAGUUGGUAGAGCGUGUGGUUCGCAAUCAUAAGGUCACCGGUUCGACUCCGGCUAUCUCCAGCA
rnacentral:tRNA from 1 species